ensembl:snRNA U6 U6 spliceosomal RNA
GUGCUUGCUUUGGCAGCACAUAUACUAAAAAUUGGAAUGAUACAGAGAAGAUCAGCAUGACCUCUGUGCAAGGAUGACACUCAAAUUUGUGAAGCAUUCCAUAUUUUU